rnacentral:rRNA from 1 species
GAUCAUGGCUCCGGAUGAACGCUAGCUACAGGCUUAACACAUGCAAGUCGAGGGGCAGCAUGGUCUUAGCUUGCUAAGGCCGAUGGCGACCGGCGCACGGGUGAGUAACACGUAUCCAACCUGCCUUACACUCUUGGACAGCCUUCUGAAAGGGAGAUUAAUACAAGAUGUUAUCAUGAGUAAGCAUUUUCACAUGAUUAAAGGUUUACCGGUGUAAGAUGGGGAUGCGUUCCA